rnacentral:rRNA from 1 species
AGUGAACGCUGGCGGUAGGCCUAACACAUGCAAGUCGAACGGCAGCACAGUAAGAGCUUGCUCUUACGGGUGGCGAGUGGCGGACGGGUGAGGAAUACGUCGGAAUCUACUUUUUCGUGGGGGAUAACGUAGGGAAACUUACGCUAAUACCGCAUACGACCUACGGGUGAAAGCAGGGGAUCUUCGGACCUUGCGCGAUUGAAUGAGCCGAUGUCGGAUUAGCUAGUUGGCGGGGUAAAGGCCCACCAAGGCGACGAUCCGUAGCUGGUCUGAGAGGAUGAUCAGCCACACUGGAACUGAGACACGGUCCAGACUCCUACGGGAGGCAGCAGCGGGGAAUAUUGGACAAAGGGCGCAAGCCUGAUCCAGCCAUACCGCGUGGGUGAAGAAGGCCUUCGGGUUGUAAAGCCCUUUUGUUGGGAAAGAAAAGCAGCAGGUUAAUACCCCGCUGUUCUGACGGUACCCAAAGAAUAAGCACCGGCUAACUUCGUG